UACGUAGGGUGCGAGCGUUGUCCGGAUUUAUUGGGCGUAAAGGGCUCGUAGGCGGCUUGUCGCGUCGGGGAGUGAAAGCCCGCUGCUUAACGGCGGGUUUGCUUUCGGUACGGGCAGGCUGGAGUACGGCAGAGGAGACUGGAAUUCCUGGUGUAGCGGUGGAAUGCGCAGAUAUCAGGAGGAACACCGGUGGCGAAGGCGGGUCUCUGGGCCGUUACUGACGCUGGAGGAGCGAAAGCGUGGGGAGCGAACAGG
rnacentral:rRNA from 1 species